rnacentral:rRNA from 1 species
UACGAAGGGGGCUAGCGUUGUUCGGAUUUACUGGGCGUAAAGCGCACGUAGGCGGAUCGUUAAGUCGGGGGUGAAAUCCUGGAGCUCAACUCCAGAACUGCCUUCGAUACUGGCGAUCUUGAGUCCGGAAGAGGUGAGUGGAACUCCUAGUGUAGAGGUGGAAUUCGUAGAGUAUUAGGAAGAACACCAGUGGCGAAGGCGGCUGCACUGGUCCGGUACUCGACGCUGAGGUGCGAAAGCGUGGGGGAGCAAACAGG